UGGGGAAUAUUGGACAAUGGGCGAAAGCCUGAUCCAGCCAUGCCGCGUGUGUGAAGAAGGUCUUCGGAUUGUAAAGCACUUUAAGUUGGGAGGAAGGGCAUUAACCUAAUACGUUAGUGUUUUGACGUUACCGACAGAAUAAGCACCGGCUAACUCUGUGCCAGCAGCCGCGGUAAUACAGAGGGUGCAAGCGUUAAUCGGAAUUACUGGGCGUAAAGCGCGCGUAGGUGGUUUGUUAAGUUGGAUGUGAAAUCCCCGGGCUCAACCUGGGAACUGCAUUCAAAACUGACUGACUAGAGUAUGGUUGAGGGUGGUGGAAUUUCCUGUGUAGCGGUGAAAUGCGUAGAUAUAGGAAGGAACACCAGUGGCGAAGGCGACCACCUGGACUAAUACUGACACUGAGGUGCGAAAGCGUGGGGAGCAAACA
rnacentral:rRNA from 1 species